GGAUGAGCCCGCGGCCUAUCAGCUUGUUGGUGGGGUAAUGGCCCACCAAGGCGGCGACGGGUAGCCGGCCUGAGAGGGUGUACGGCCACAUUGGGACUGAGAUACGGCCCAGACUCCUACGGGAGGCAGCAGUGGGGAAUAUUGCACAAUGGGCGCAAGCCUGAUGCAGCGACGCCGCGUGGGGGAUGAAGGCCUUCGGGUUGUAAACUCCUUUCGCUAGGGACGAAGCUUUGUUGUGACGGUACCUAGAUAAGAAGCACCGGCUAACUACGUGCCAGCAGCCGCGGUAAUACGUAGGGUGCGAGCGUUGUCCGGAAUUACUGGGCGUAAAGGGCUCGUAGGUGGUUUGUCGCGUCGUCUGUGAAAUUCUGGGGCUUAACUCCGGGCGUGCAGGCGAUACGGGCAUAACUUGAGUGCUGUAGGGGUAACUGGAAUUCCUGGUGUAGCGGUGAAAUGCGCAGAUAUCAGGAGGAACACCGAUGGCGAAGGCAGGUUACUGGGCAGUUACUGA
rnacentral:rRNA from 1 species